rnacentral:rRNA from 1 species
UACGUAGGGAGCAAGCGUUGUCCGGAAUCAUUGGGCGUAAAGCGCGCGUAGGCGGCCCUGUAAGUCCGUUGUGAAAGUCAAAGGCUCAACCUUUGAAAGCCGAUGGAUACUGCAGGGCUAGAGUCCGGAAGAGGCGAGUGGAAUUCCUGGUGUAGCGGUGGAAUGCGCAGAUAUCUGGAGGAACACCGGUGGCGAAGGCGGC